UAUUAAGGAGUGUGUUACGUUAAGUCACAUUGCAUUGAACCCGGCGCAUGCGCAGACGUCUGACAGUCGUUGACAAUAUGAAGUAUUUUAUGUUAGUUUUUGUUGUGUUUGGAGUCGUUUACGGAAAUGAGGAAGAUUUUAAAAUAAUUGAUGCAAUAGAGCAAGAAAAGCCGUGUGCGGAAAUGGGCGGCAUUUGCACGGUCGCAGCUGACUGCCCAAAGGGACACCUCGCUGAGAAACAGGGACUUUGUCCGAAUCAACGCAAACAAGGAAUCGACUGCUGCCAUGGACUAUCAAUGAAAGAGACUCGUUGCCUCAAACAUGGCGGAGUUUGUAUGAAACCGGAAGUGUAUUGUAAUCCAAGUCUUAUAUUUGAUGAAGCUACAGAUUGUGUUGAUAAUAAAAAGUGCUGUCUUAUGGUAUUGUAGAAUAUUUAUACGCUUAUAUUAAAUAUAAUAAAAUGAAAAACA